UACAGAGGUGGCAAGCGUUGUUCGGAAUUACUGGGCGUAAAGGGCGCGUAGGCGGCCAACUAAGUCAGACGUGAAAUCCCUCGGCUUAACCGGGGAACUGCAUCUGAUACUGGAUGGCUUGAGAUUGGGAGAGGGAUGCGGAAUUCCAGGUGUAGCGGUGAAAUGCGUAGAUAUCUGGAGGAACACCGGUGGCGAAGGCGGCAUCCUGGACCAACACUGACGCUGAGGAGCGAAAGCUAGGGGAGCAAACGGG
rnacentral:rRNA from 1 species